AUAACCCAGGAACAGUUUGUCCAUUGUGAGUGACACUUUAUUGAAACAAAUUUACUCGCUCCCUACUUACUGCUUAACUCAAAGCCUCGUAUAAGUUCCCCCAAAACUAGACUGGGGAGCUAGAUUGAUAUGGGGGGGGGGUUUUCUUUAAUCUGGCUGUCUUCUGAUCUGCAGGUCAUGUUUAUUAAACCGGAGGCGAGGGGUAUUCAACGGGAUUCUGUGAUUCUAAUUAGUGUUUUUAACUGCCUCCAAAAUGAGUACAGGGAGAGGGCAAGGUGUAGCCCCUCCGGGAGUUGAUUCCAUAAGGCAGGCGCCACCACCGAGGAGGCCCUGCCUCUAGCAGACGACUUUUAGGCCUCUCUCAGGGUAACGUGAGAGGCAAGGGGACUGAGAAAGAAAAAACUGCCUUCCAGACGGCUAUACGGUUCAUCCCAUGGAGCGCUCCGCCUGGCCUGCUCCGUCUACCCCACCCCCAACCCCGGCGGGCGUCGGCAGCCCUCACCCUCCCUCCCUCCCUCCCUCGGGGUACCCCUGCCCGGCCGGCCGUGGGAAGCCCUCAGGACACCGGAGCCCCUCGGCCUGUUCGUUCUGAGGCGGGGCGGCUUCCCCCCCCCUUCCGCCCCGCUCAGGGUGCCUGACUCGAGCGAGGAAAAACCCCAGGGGAGGGCGCCGCCCAGGGCUGGCCGGCCUCGCUCGGAGGCACGCGUGGAAGAGCCUUUCCUUCCACCCGGGAGGGACUCCGCUCGCCCGGGGAACUCCCACGGAGCCUGGCCCUUUUCCCGCCCGCCAGCCCGCCUUCUCUCUCUCUCUCGGGACCGCCGAAGGAGGAGAAGGAGGCGCUCUGCCCCUCGCCCCGCCAGGCUCUAUGGUGCCACGAGCAGGAGCGGCGGCCGCGGAUAGGUCGGCCGCGGGGCACGUGGGGAGCGUUGCGCGGCAACGGCGGCGAACUUCCGCCUGGCGAGGGAGAAGGCGAGCUGGGGCCAUGGGACGGGGCCGCCCAGGGGGGUCGCCGGCGGUGCGCGACACCGGAGGCAGCAGCGCCGCCAGCAAGAGGUCCACGGCCGCGCUGGGCUACGUGGAGGACCGCUUCGUCCAGCAGCUCGUGCCCCGGAGCGGCGGAGGC
rnacentral:lncRNA from 1 species